rnacentral:misc_RNA from 1 species
AUUCCUCCACCCACCAUCCUUUUUGUGUUGGUCGGGCUGGGAUCUGGGGGUUUGUGGGUCCUCUCUGGUCCACUCUCCUUGAAUGCAUGAGUGAAGACCUGUACAGGCCUCGGUGUGAUAGGAUAUCUACGCCACGGCUCUGUGUGGAAAUAGUGCUUUGCUUCGAACCGUCCCUCUCUGGGACAAGCUCUAUCGAAC